AUGCAUGUCUAAGUACAGACUUUUACAUAGUGAAACCGCGAAUGGCUCAUUAAAUCAGUUAUGGUUCCUUAGAUCGUACAAUUUCCUACAUGGAUAACUGUGGCAAUUCUAGAGCUAAUACAUGCAACGAAGCUCCGCCCUUUGGGGAAGAGCGCUUUUAUUAGAUCAAAACCAAUACGGGUUCUGCCCGUUCCGUUGGUGACUCUGGAUAACUUUGUGCUGAUCGCACGGCCUAGUGCUGGCGACGUAUCUUUCAAAUGUCUGCCCUAUCAACUGUCGAUGGUACGUGACAUGCCUACCAUGGUUUUUACGGGUAACGGAGAAUCAGGGUUCGAUUCCGGAGAGGGAGCAUGAGAAACGGCUACCACA
rnacentral:rRNA from 6 species